AUCUGAUGUACGUAAUUCUGAACUUUACACAUGUACGUAAUCACUUUACGUAAAGGAUACAGCAUAGCCCCCAUUAUCUCUCUAAUCGAUUAGUUAGCGAUUGCGUCUGCUGAAUGAGGUACGGAUAGAUGUUACAACCCAUUCCGCUGUUGCCAAAUUUUUAAUCAGUAUCGAAACGCGGCAGAUUUAAAAACAUGUCAAAAUAUGUUGUUUUACUUUACACGUUCUAAAAGUGAAUCAAAUCUAUUUUUUCUAAUUUAAUAAUUGCUUGUAUAAAAAAUACCUAGAUGGUACGUAAAAAAUAUAUAUUUCGUUUGUUAUCCGGUUGAUAAACUUAAGUUUGUUAUCCAAGUAAGUUUGGAUUAUGAACACACCUGAUUUUUGUGUUUAUUUUUAUAAUUUCAGCUUUUCUUUAACCUAACCUAACAUAAUCAGAUUCAAAGAUGAUUUUAUCGUUUUUAUUUCCAUUUUGGAAGAAGGAAUGAAGGAAAUUUACAGAUAUGACAAACAUCUAGCUAGAAGAUGGAAUCUUGCGUUCUUAAAAGAAAAAAAUCUAGUUCCAGAAGUAAGCUACCAAUAAUAAACUAGAGAAUGUAUUACAAGAAAGAACAACGUUAAUACUCAACAUUGCUCAAUUGCUUCAGAUAGAAAAAGAGGAGGAAAGGGUACAACACAAGCGUGCCAGAGAAAAUGAAAGGGCAGAAAAAAGACACAAAAUUCAUUGAUUUAUUAAAUUUAAAAAUUAAAUUAUACAAAGGACAAUUAAAUAAAAAAUUAAAAAUGA